rnacentral:rRNA from 1 species
CCUACGGGAGGCAGCAGUGGGGAAUUUUGGACAAUGGGCGCAAGCCUGAUCCAGCAAUGCCGCGUGAGUGAAGAAGGCCUUCGGGUUGUAAAGCUCUUUUGUCAGGGAAGAAACGGUGGAGGUUAAUACCUUCUGCUAAUGACGGUACCUGAAGAAUAAGCACCGGCUAACUACGUGCCAGCAGCCGCGGUAAUACGUAGGGUGCAAGCGUUAAUCGGAAUUACUGGGCGUAAAGCGUGCGCAGGCGGUUGUGCAAGACAGAUGUGAAAUCCCCGGGCUCAACCUGGGAAUUGCAUUUGUGACUGUACGGCUAGAGUGUGUCAGAGGGGGGUAGAAUUCCACGUGUAGCAGUGAAAUGCGUAGAGAUGUGGAGGAAUACCGAUGGCGAAGGCAGCCCCCUGGGAUAACACUGACGCUCAUGCACGAAAGCGUGGGGAGCAAACAGGAUUAGAUACCCUGGUAGUCCACGCCCUAAACGAUGUCUACUAGUUGUCGGGUCUUUAUUGUACUGUACGUCGAGCGUACGCGUGAGUAGACCGCCGUCGGGUAGGUACGGUUCGCGAGAGUUAAACGUAACGAAGAGAGUUAGACGGCGNGAGACGNGCGACGGACGACGACGAGGGAGGAGG